GACAGAGGGUGCAAACGUUGUUCGGAAUUACUGGGCGUAAAGCGCGUGUAGGCUGUUCGGAAAGUCGGAUGUGAAAGCCCUGGGCUCAACCCAGGAAGUGCAUUCGAAACUCCCGAACUGGAGUCCUGGAGAGGAAGGCGGAAUCCUCGGUGUAGAGGUGAAAUUCGUAGAUAUCGAGAGGAACAUCGGUGGCGAAGGCGGCCUUCUGGACAGUGACUGACGCUGAGACGCGAAAGCGUGGGGAGCAAACAGG
rnacentral:rRNA from 1 species